UUUGCUCCAAAUGAACAGGUGACUUUGCAAAGGCUGGAGAUUGUGUUUGAGAGGCUAAAUGCGCACAAACUCAAGCUUGCUCCCAAAAAGUGCCACUUCAUGCAAUCAUCUGUGAAGUUCUUGGGGGACAGUGUAACCAAGGAUGGCAUCUCCACUGACUCAGAGAAAGUAAGAGCUGCAGUGGACAUCAGUGAGAAUGACUUGAUGGUCGAUAACACCAGCGUUCCCUCUCCCUCCAAGAUAAGAUCGUUUCUUGUAGGGAUGCACCGAUGCCGAUAGCGGUAUCGGGUAUUGAUCUGAUACCAGGCAUGAGUACUCGUACUUGUACUCAUAAAAUGGCCAACGAUACCAUGACACUGAUACACUUGACUGCAAGGUGGGCAGCGUCAUGUCAGCAGUAUGGAACUAUUUUCAGGUGAAUGAGAGCGACAAAAACAAAGCAGUAUGCAAAUUAUGUCCAGCAAAAAUGUCCAGAGGAGGAACAAAAUCUACCACUUACAACACAAGCAACUUGAUUAAACAUUUGAAAUCCAAGCACGACGCAGAAUAUAAGGAGUUCAUUCACGGCACAGAGAGACAACCAACUUUGCAGCAGAUGCUGGCUAAGCAGGAGAAAAUGUCCAGAGACAACCUUCGUGCGGUCAAAAUCGCACAUGCCCUUGCCGAGUAUACUGCCCUGGAUGACCAGCCACUGUCCGUGGUCGAAAAUUCGGGAUUCCGGCGUCUUCUCUGCAUACUGGAACCGAGGUAUUUGAUUCCUAGCCGUACCCAUAUCGUAGACAUGGUGCUGCUGAAGCUGCACGACAUCCACAACCUGUUGCAUGAUGUUAAAAUUUUAAGCUUCCCCACGGACAUUUGGAGCAGCAGCGUCAGCCCAGUGUCUCUCAUCAGCCUGACUGCACAGUGGAUCGACGAUGAUUUUUAAGCUGCAGAAGGCCAUACUGCAUGCAAAACAAUUCAGAGGUUCGCACACCGGCCAAGCCAUUGCAGAUGAGUUUGAUGUUAUGCUUCAGACGUGGGGCAUUAAUAAAAGUGCAGUCCAUGUUGUGCUACGAGAUAACGCGAAGAACAUGGUCAAAGCCAUGCGUGAUGCGGAGCUUCUGAGCCUCCCGUGUGUCGCACACACACUGCAGCUGGCUGUAAACGAGGGGCUGCUGGCUCAGAGAAGCGUAGCCGAUGCAGUGGGACGAAAAAUUGUUGGACAUUUUAAACACUCCGCUUUAGCCUACUCCCAACUGGAGGACAUACACGUGCGACUCAACCAGCCCGUUAAAAGACUCCAACAGGAUGUCCCGACCCGCUGGAACAGCACUUAUUCCAUGCUUCAGUCUCUCAUUCGGAAUAUUUGGGUCAGAGUACGACCUUCUUGACAACUUCAUUGUCACCGCUCUCCAGUGGUCACUUUUUGAGAAAACUUUGUCUGUGCUUGCUCCGUUUGAGGAACUAAUCCGAAAAAUGAGCUCACGUGAUGCACUUGCAUCUGAUGUCAUUCCUGCUGUGACCGUGCUUCUGAGACUUCUGACCAAUGAAACAGACAAAGACCAUGGCAUUAAAGCCAUGAAGGAGACUUUGGCUGGAGCCCUCAAGAGGAGCCUCGGUGACGGGGAAACAAACCCAAUGUACUGCAUCCCUACUCUUCUCGAUCUGAGGUACAAAGAUCGCUUUUUCUCAAACACUGACAUUGCUACAGAGGCCAAGGAGAUGCUGAUGCUGCGGAGGAUGUCCACAGGAGAGGCAGACAAGUAGGAGGAUCUUGGAGAGCCACCUGUCAGAAAGCUUCGUAAGGUGCAAGCCAGCAGCAGUCUGGACAGUUUGAUGAGAUAGCAGGUGAGCGGGAAUCAACAUCACCGGGCCUUGCACCAGAGGGAGCUGUCAUUCAGUUAGAGACAUAUCUUGGAAGGACCACAACUGCUCGAGAGGAAAACCCUCUACAAUGGGGGGCUCACAGAGUGUGAUUUCCAAUUCUGGCUCAAAUGUCAAAGAGAUACCUGUCAGCCCCAUGUAGCAGUGUGGACAGUGAACGUCUGUUCAGGUCAGUGUCCCACAUUGUUGAUGAAAAAUGCAACAGACUCACCGCUGAAAAUGCAGUGAAGCUUCUUUUUAUCAAAAAGAACCUGCCCCUCACUUACACAAAGAAAGUUUAAUCAUCACAGACAGAUGUUGUGAGGACAUGUUGAUCGCUUGAGAUACAGCCAUGGCCAUAAGUUUGGACACAGCAUGACUUACUAUGUCUGUUUUGAUGUCUAUUACAGAACAUAACUAAUAUUUUUUGACAGCACCAGUUUAAUUAGUCAACAAAUCAACAAGGGAUAUAAUAUUAUCAAUAAAUUCCAACAAUUGGAACAACUUUGUUCCCAAAACAUAAUAUUAGAAGAAAAUAACAAAAAAAAAUGCAGUACUUUCACAACCGAAUUUGGUCAGAAUAACAAAAUGACACCAAACUCUUUUGAUGUUUUUUUUAAAUAUGAAACUUAAUAUAGUUCUCAGGAGUUGUGUACUGUAUUGUAAGUGACAAUUUUGUGGUAUUUUCUAAGAUUCACAAGCGUCAUGGUACUUGUGUCCAAACUUAUGGCCAUGGCUGUACUCAGCCAGUUUUAUGUUGGUUCUUGAAUGAAUAUUUUGAGUAAAUGUUGAAGUUAAAUAUGUGGCAAAGCUGUUAAAACCACAGAAGCAGAAAGUGUCAAUUUUACACUCAGGUUUUUUGGUGAUGUGUGACAGUGCCAUGUUUAAAACACUUUUGUUAAAUGUCAGCACUCAGUAUGUGACAAAGUUUUACUGAAAUCUUACAAUAUGUGUGGCAGUGUAAUGUUUAUAAAAGCACUAAUGUUGAAUGGCAGUAUAUGACAAAUUUGUUAAACUUUGCUUGUACUGCAGUGAAACUUGUGAUAGUAACCCAUGUACAAGAAAAUCAAAUAACAGACAAUAUCUGUGGAAAAAAAAAUCAAAAUAACUUUAUGUGUAAUGGCGUAAGUACUCGGUAUCGGUAAGUACUCAAAUGGAAGUACUCGUACACUACUCGUUUUGGAAAAAAGUGGUAUCGGUGCAUCUCUAGUUUCUUGGUAUGGUUGGAUUUUACCAGAAAUUCUUUGAGGAAUACUCAUACAUUAGUAAGCCCCUGUUUGCCCUGACAUCUGCCGUGAAAAGACCAUGACACGCUAAAGGAAAAAGGUGUUCACCUGUGACCAGAAAGUACACUUCUGCUGUCUGGACAACUGAAUGCAAUGAAGCUUUUGUAAAGUUGAAACGGGCUCUGUUGGAUAACACCACUCCAGCUCACCCUGACUUCAGCAAGCCAGUUUUGCUGUCCGUUGAUGCCUCCUCCUUUGGCCUUGGUGCUGUGUUGUCUCAGCUAGCAGAGGUUGAUGAUGUUGCUUGACCUAUAGCAUUUGCCAGCAAGUCUCUUAACUUUGCACGGUCUCACUAUCCAGCCCACAGACUGGAGUUUUUGGCGUUUAUUUGGGCUGUUUGUGACAAAUUCAGUCACUGGUUGAGAGCUCACUCUUUCAUUGUGCGGACUGACAACAAUCCACUGACCUACAUCAUCAGUAAGCUCAAACUCGAUGCCUGUGAACAAAGAUAGGUUGCGAAGCUUGCCCCUAUUUGACUUUGACAUUAAGUACAUUCCAGGCCCUAAGGAUGUAGUCGCGGAUGCUCUCAGUCAUGAGCCUUUUGCGCGUCCAAGCAUGCUCCAUCGUCUCACAAAUGUCCCUUGUGGUGUGCUCAUGGAGGAAGCGAACGCUCUGAACUCUGUGUGCAGAACGUUGUUCACCAUUCCUGAGAUCUUCAAGCAAUGCUACAGACGCAUCAUCAAGCAACUGUGGCGUCCAAAAAUGUUGGGUCACAGGCCGCAGAUUAGUGCAUCUCACAGCAGAUGGUGUCUGCAGUUCUGGUUUGGUGUUUGGACCAAGAGAACCUGCUACCCCGAGUCUUCCUCCUGCCUCAGCUUGUUAAACCCAUCCAACCUUCUGAGCUGUCUGAGGUUUGUCCCCUGCCAAGGGAUAAAUUGAUGGCAAUGCAGCGUGUUGAUCCAUGUUUGAGCCAUGUGCUUCAGUUUGUGGAGCAUCAGAGGCACCCAUCUAAACGUGAACGUACACAUGAACCAGCUGAUGCUUUGCGCAUCGUAAGGCGUUGGGAAAACCUCACAGUCAGAUCAGGUGUGCUGUAUCGUGUUACAAAGGACGCUGUUACAGAGAGAAAGACGUAUGGGUAUGUUGUGCCCUUUGCACUGAAAGAGAGCGUUCUGAAGAGGGUACAUGAUGAGGCAGGGCAUAAAGGCCAGAGACGGACGCUGUACCAGAGUAGGCACUUUACCUCAUGCACUUCACUCAGGAAAAUCUCACGGUCAAGACUGCAGCUGGUUCAGAACACUGCUGCUCACCUUUUAACAGGAUCACGAAAAUUUAAUCGCAUAACUCCCAUCAUCCAAUCCCUCUACUGGCUCCCCAUGCACCUCCAUGUUGAUUUUAAAAUUCUUUAACCCUUUAAGCUGCAGUCACUUCCAGCCAUUUUCAGUACAAAACAAUCGCUAAUAUUCUAUUUGUAAAUCAAAAUAUGACGAGAAAUACAGGGAAUAUUGGACGCGCAUCACGAGGUGCAUUUCUUUGAAAACGACUUAUUCGUGGAGUAUAUACCGACUUCAAGACAUGUUUUGGACAAAAUAGUUUACUGGCUUGUUUCGUCUGGAUGUCCAAGGUUGGAUUAUGGCCGUUUUUUGUGGAAUAUUUUCAUCUGUGUGUAAUAAUGAACCCCGAAAUGUGAGUCGCGCUGUGUACGUUGAAGCCGUGUAUAGAGAACGGAUGGAUGGAUUUUCGUUGUUUGUCGGACAAAUGUGUUUAUAUUACCCGCUGUGGUAAUCACAUCUGAAAGUGGUUUAUACCGGCGGAUUCAUGAGAAUCUAAGCUUUCCAUCGGCGUAUAGUGUUUGUAUAAUCGCGUUUGCAGUUUCAGACAUUUAGCAAAUUGCUUAUGCAGAUCUCAAAGUGUACCGCGGGCGGGACACUGAAGCGCAACGGGUUAAACUCCUAGGCUGCCUGUUGACUUGAUGUUUGGGUCAGUUCUUCUAGAUUACCAGAUAGUGGACUAUGACGCCUAUGUGCAGUGCCUUAGGCGCGAUUUGGCCCAGGCUCUGAAAGUUGCUCAGAUUUCUGCCACAAAACAGCAGCAGAAACAAGCUGACCUUUACGACAGGAAGGUUAAGGGUGCCCAUGUGGAUGUGGGAGACCGAAUCCUUUUAGCGAACAAAGGUGAACGAGGGAGAAGGAAACUGGCUGAUCACUGGGAGAACCACCUCUACACUGCUGUGGAGAAGCAUGAUAACACUCAUAUCUUCAGGAUCAGGAACUGUGCUACAGUGCAGGAAAAGGUGGUUCACAGGAACCUCUUAUUACCUGUUAACUUCCUGCCUAUUUCCAUGAAACCUGAGGUUGAGGAUUCAUGUGUCAGUGAUCUGAUCACAGAAGGGCUCACUGCUUAAUGAUGGUGUUGUGGGCUCUGUUACAUUGCCUGUUUGUGACCCUGAGGACAGAACUACCUCGUGGAUUUCUCAGAUCCCAGCUCCCUCUGGAGAACAGCUGACCGUUUCAUGUGAUGUUCGUGUGGCUGUUGACUCUGAGGGGACUGCUGACAGAUCUGACUGCUCUGUUUCCUGUGACUUACCUGCUGAGACUUUUUGUCCUGAUGACCAACCUGGGACUCAAUCUGUUGCUACUGCGACAGCAUAUAGUGCGUAACCUUCUGUUGAGGGUUCUGUGGACAGACCUGGUGUUGGACAUGUUCUACUUAUCUCUACCUCCAGUAACAGACUGCUAAGCACAACGACGAGGUAUGGGAGAGUUGUCAGGCCUGUCGUGUGACUUAUUCAACAGAUGCACCAGAAGGUUCUUACUGGUAUUUAAUGUUCUUGUAUAUGUGGAUUUGUGAAGUGCGUUUAUGUUUUCUGGGGAUCUGUUUUCUUUAUGAAAUGAACACCUGUCUGAUAGUAGGAUCCAGGUGGUUUGUGAUUGUACUGUGUUUAUUAUGGGAUAUCUGGCAACCUGACAUGUACACAGGCAUGUUUUUCCUAUGAGUAUUGAAAGGAUUCACGACCCCUUUCUCAUUCUAAUUCUUCGGGAAUGGUCAUUGACUGGAAUGCUUGAUAUCGGUAAUGUGAACAGUACUGCAUUUUUUUCUUUAUCUUUCUCCAUGCAUUCUUGUAUGUAGUUGUGGAUACCUGGUAUAGUGUUCCAUGAUAGCUUGGAAAAUCCAAACUGAAUCUCCAUGUAAUCUCCUAUCUCCAUGUUAGGAGAUAUAGGAGAAUCAGUUUGGCAUUGGGCGAAUUGAAUCGCGUUUCCCUCCCAGGAAAGUUUGGUAUGACCAAUCAUAGCAUGGGAGGCGGGAGUUAACGCUGCGUCAUCUUCAGCGCCUGGAUUACCCAUAAAACACCUGUGCACCUCCCGUAACUAGAGUGCUUGUAUAACCAGAGUGGCGACAACUGGGGAUUUGACGCCAUUUUGUUUCCAUUCAUUCAAUAUGGGACGCGCAGCGCAAGGUGCACAUUCACGAAAACUAGCCAUUUGUGGAUUGCUUACUGAUUUCAAGACAUGUUUUGGACAAAAUAUUUUACUGGCUUGUUUUGUCUGGAUGUCCAAGGUUGGAUUAUGACCGUUUUUUGUGGAAUAUUUUCAUCUGUGACUAGUUUUGAGCCUUCAAAGGUGAGUUGUGCUGUUUACGUUAUUUGCUGUUUGUUGGACAAAUGUAUUUAUAUCACCCGCUGUGGUAAUCACAUCUGAAAGUGGUUUAUACCGGCGGAUUCAUGAGAAUCUAAGCUUUCCAUGGGUGUACAAUGUUUCUAUCAUCGAGUUUGCAGCUUCAGUCAGUUUAGUAAAAUACGUUUGCACAUACGAGCCGCUGAAGUUUAACGGGUUACCCCGUUAAACUUCAGCGGCUCGUAUUUCAUGCAUCUCCAUGAAUGAAAAUGGUCAAAGUCAAAAUAACCACAACUGCCUAAAAUCACAUAAAAACUUUUCUAUCUGUCAUUCACCCAUACAUCAUAACAUGAAAGUACAUACAUGGGACUAACCUGGCACAAAAACAAUGAUGAAGUCGGUUUCCAUUCCACUCUCCGGACUUUAUUUUCCCACAGUUUCCUUCUUUUACUAUAACUGGGAAAUCUAAACAUGUGGAAUCCCUUCUCCGAUCGAUUUGUGCACCCAAAGGCACAACAGCCCGUCAUUUUUCAGGUAUUUAAGAGAAAAAGGACCUAGAAUUACUCUCUGCGGUGUAAACAAUGUUAACAGGAAAACCCGGCGUUCAUGAAUUGGAAACAAAAUGGCGCCAUAGAUCACGUGACCAAAGUUUUUUGGACCCGUCAUGUCGCCACUCUGGUUAUACAGGAACUCUACCCGUAACCAAACACAAACAUUAACAAAGUUAUUCCUAACACCGGCAAUCGUUCAGAAGGAGUCUUUUGUUGUGUAGCCUUUUCAAAAAUAAGUGUUGUACUUGAGAGUACGCCCAUGUAUUCGCAGAUUUUUGUGACAAAAACGGUAGUAAUCAUUCACCGCGACGCUUUCUCGGCUGCAUGCCAUUGUUGUUUGGACUACAUGGACUUUAAGGUCGAUUUGUUUGUGCGUCACAUCCGUGUUACGCUGAUUGGUUCUUUCUCGUUCAAGCUGCAUUCGUUAGCCCCUCCUUUUUGAAAUCGUCUCCUAUCAUCACAAUGCCAGAAUGCCUUUAUUUGUAUUUACAUUAAUACAUAAAUAAAGUCAGUCUGGAUUUUCCAGGCAAGUUCCAUGAUGCUCUCACGGUGCAUAUCUGUUUUUUUUUUAUUUGUUUGUUUUUUGCUGUUCUUAUGAUGAUUUUGUUUUCAUUGGGAUGUGCAAGAGGAGAUCAGUAGGGGGGAGUGUAGGAGUUAAUGAUUCCAUUUGCCAUCUCAAAUUACAUAUUUGGUUCUCACGGUCACCACUGGAAAUGGCGUGGACGCACACGUCUGGGCCCCUGCAGACUUUUUUUUUUUUUUUAACACAAAGAGGUUAUACAGAGUGUUAACUUAUAGAGAAUAACACAAAAUGGAAACAACAACUUAUUAAUAUUACAGUGUAAACACAAAGAGUCAUAUAUAUAUAUAUAUAUAUAUAGAAUCUUGGUGGUGGUUGGAGGGGCCAUAGGCGUGGAUUGGCAGCCACGCUUCUGUCAGUCUGCCCCAGGGCAGGUGUGGCUACAAAUGCAGCUUACCACCACCAGAGUGACAAUGUGUGAGUGAAUGAAUGAUGGAUUCAUUGUACACGCUUUGAGUAUGCCUGAAUAGAAAAGCACUAUAUAAAUCUAAUCCAUUAUUAUCAUUAUUAUUAUAUAAAGGGAGUCUUACAACCAUAUGGGUAACAGAUCAUAUUCAUCCAUAUUGUGAGCAGAAGAGGAUGAAAUUAACUAACUGUGCUUGCACUAGGAAUUUGAAAUGAAAAGCCACUGUGGCUCACUCAUAAGAAUAACAAUGCGCCACAAAAAGCCUCAAAUUUCUGUGUCGGUGAUAGUGGAAAAAAUGGAGUCAUUUUCCUGCAUUCUGGUGCAUUUUGAGGUUAAAAAAAAAAAAAAAAAAAAGCUCAAUUAAACAGUUCUAUUUUAACUAUUUCAUUUCUACUUAUAUGUAUGUAUGUAUGUUGUUAUUUUUAAUACAAACAGGCAGUCAGGGGUGAAGACACAUUCUCAUGUAUAUCUGCAUUUGGCCAUUUAAAACCCUGUGCCUGAAAUAUGUUCAUGAUCAAGACCUUCUGACCCAUAAAAAUAUUAAUUUCAUGUCCAAUUUACCUUCUUUUCCUCCUAUGUCCAAUUCUUCAACCCUCACUAUGUACCAUAUCUCACAACUGUAGCAUAAACUCAACAAAAACCUCCUCUAGGGGAGUCAGAUUUUGUUAAGUGUUUAUUUUAUGUCAUACAAUCUGCACAGUUAACUCAACCUGCAUAUUUCUGUUCAAGUCCUAGUUUUGAAAUAGUCUCUGUUCUUAAUCUGCCAUACUGUGAUCAUUUAGCCCCUUAUUUUAUUAUUCUGUUCUUACAGACUGUAAUUUACUAGGAUUUUUUUUUACUUGUUGUGAUUUGGUGUUUUAGCUGUUGUAGCAAAUAAUUUCCCAGGUGUGGGAUAAAUAAAGAAUCUCAAUUCUAUUAUAUUGUUCACUUGUCCAAUAAAAAUAACAAUAACAAAUGACUUUAUACUUAAGAACUAUACUUAUAUUAAAAACUUCAUACAUAAAUAUCAGACAUAUCUUGCAUUCUUAGGGGAGUCCGAUUUUAAAUAAGGAGAUAAAGUUUUCUCAGUGAACACGUAUUUUAUUGACACGUGUAGAACACUGAUGGAAUAUGAACAAUAUUUGGUGACUACACCCUGUCCUGUCCUGAUGUGCUCAUAGCAGUGAAGCUGAGAGUAGUAGGAUCUCCCCCGAUGCCAUUUAGGGUGCGUAAAUACGGAUGAGAAGAGGAGAAACAUGUCACCUCAUCAUAUUUAACAGGAAAACAUGUCUGCAGUUCGGUACUUAAUCACAUUUAACCCGAAAACCUGUAGAAAACAACAGCAAAAACAGUAAACGUACAACAGAGAACCCGUCAAGUGGCCACAGAGUGAAAUGUAAGUCGCGCGCGUUCAUGUGAAGGGGGAGUCAGAUUUUUCUGGGGAGUGUAAAAAUUCUACAACACUGGGCACGUGAUCAAGAUUCGGGUGACUCCGACCAUUUCCGAGAAAAGUUUUUUUUUUCUUAUAUUAUCGCUCGGGCGUUUCGAAGAAAAAGUAAGUCGACCCCUUUUUUGUUGCUUUUUACAAGAAAAAUAGAGCACUACUGUGGCUGACACGGUUCAGAAUGACUGUGCCAUCCAGCAAAACGAUACACCAAUGACGCUGUGGCGAUCGCCUAGCACAAGCCUAGACUAAUAAUUAAUAAUAUAAACAAAUUUAUAUUAAAUCAGGGAAUUUUAACUAUUGAAUAAACAAGUCUGAUAUUUUUAUGGCUUUGUUGUUUGAUGGUGAUGUUAUUGCAGUAAAGUAUUGUUUGAGCUCAUUUUCAAAGUAUUUUCCAUUUGUUUUUUUCUUUGCCCAAUUCGUUUUGUGAAAAUGAAAUUUGCCCAGCAUGAUGAUAGUCUGUAACAAAAGGGAAAGACCGUAAGGUAUGGAGGGAUUUUCAAACUGAAAGAGGAUGUGGCUCUCCUCGAGGCCGAUCCUGUGGCCGGUUUUGUUAUGGAUUAGGUUUUGUAUAUGAUUCCAGAGGUUUUUACUGUAUGAGCAUUGAUAAAAGAGGUGGAUGAUGGUUUCUGGUUCUGUUUGGCAAGUCACAGUUAUAGUCUACAUUUAAUUUAAACCUCUCCAGGGUUUUUUUUUUUUUUUUGCCUGAUGUAUACUGACAGUCAAUAGAAACUUUGAGGUAGAAAUGUAGGCAGAAUUCUACUUGUAGGGGGGUUGUAAUUAUUCAUUGUGGAUUUACUGAUGAUCUAGUGCCCUGGUAGUUGAGAUAAUGAUGAGUUGUCAUUUUGUCAUGAUUCAUUGCACAUGGGUUGGUCACUUUGCAAAAGUAAACCAAAUACACACCAAGCAAUACUCAGUGAAUAUCUGCACAAUGUGAGAAUGGGUUUGAAGGCCUAUAUAAAGGCCCAAAAAAGGCCACCAUUGUUAGUCCAGUGAACAGCAUCAUGCCGCGUCUAUCACAUGAACAACGUCUCCGGGCACUGGGUAUGGUGGAGGCCGCUUUGAGCUACAGUGAUGUAGCCAGGCGUAUGGGCUGUUCCCAACCCACAAUCAGAAGCCUGGUCCAAAGCAUGCGCCGACGGAUUGCUGCCUGCAUCCAAGUAGAUGGAGGCCAUACUCGGUAUUGACUGUUGUGACUUUGUGUUUGGCAGGUGCCGUUUUCUUUUGUCAAAUUCUUUAUUUUGAAAUCAUUCUUGAAACUUUAGAUUUUUGUUUCUGUAUGCCAACAUGCUAAACAAAUGAUUCAUAUGAAGAAAAUCCAGUUUUGGGCUUCAAAAUAAAAAUUAUGUUGAAAAAUAUGGUCUCUAAGUUUUUAAUGACUGUCAGUGUACAUUAUGACAGAUUUUGUAUAUUUCUUUGACCUUAUUGUGAAUGAGCAGCUUCUCGCCAAACAGCCACGCCCCUCUCCAGUUUAUUUCCCCGUACAGUGAACUCCAGCAAGAGUUGGCUGCCGGUAGGUUUGAGGGUUGAAUGAGAUUCCUGAUACAUUUAUUUGAGCGGACUUUGGUUGUUAUGUCUAUGUUAUGGAUGAAUAAUUUGGCAUCAUUUUUCUGAGUAACAGGGUGGAAUUGGGAACCUUCAGGAGCUGCAGAACUUCUAUUGAUAUUGCGAUGGAAAUUGUAAUGUAUUCUGUUUGUGAGAUUGUGAGAUGGUAUUUGUUAAUAAAUUGGUUGUAAGGUAAGAUUUGUCCUUGUUCAUCGAUUAACUGAUUAAUCCAAUAAUACUCCCUGAUCAAACCAAGAUUUGUAAAAUAUGGUUUUGUUUCUGUGCUGUAUAUGUUGGUUGUUCUAUAUGUAGCAGCUGGUUGGCGAGAAGCUGCGUUUGUAGAUCAGCCCCCAGGAGAGCAACGCCUGUUAGUGGAAGUUUGAUGACUGAAUUGGUAUUUUGUCAAUUUUAUAAUUCCAUUUGAGUAAAAAAUGAAUUCCUCCUAAUUUUUUGAAUACAUAAUUUGGAAUUGCAUUCCACAUAUUAACAUUUUCUCUGAUGAGGCGACAUAACCAAUUAAUUUUUGAACAUAUUAUUCAUAGUUUCAAAACUUAGAACUUCCAACCCUCCAUUUCCCCUCUGGUUACAGAGAAUCUCUUUUUUUUAGAUAAAGGGCUUUGUUUCUCCAAAUGAAAUAAAAAAGCAUUUUAUCCAGUUCUUUGCAUAUGUUUACAGGUAUAUCCAUUGACAAAGACAUGUAUACAGAUUAGGGAUGGUUCGAUACCGAGUUCGAUCCAGGCCAAAAUGACCGGAUCGAGCAUCAGAGUUUUUUAUGAGAACUCGUUUGAUCCGAUCCAUAAGCCCAAUCUAUCUCAUAUAUCCUCAUCUUCACUUUUCACGACAUGCCGUAACACUGACGAGCUGUUGCCAUGGUUGCCAUGUGCCCGUGUUUUCAUCACGUGAGCAGAGAGUGAACAGAAGCCUGCAGAGAGCUGUGGUCAUGUCUGCUGUGUUUAUUGUUUAUUGUUUAUUGUGUAUUGGAUCCCCAUUAGUCGUCACCAUGGUGACGACUAUUCUUCCUGGGGUGGAGUUACUAUAUGCAACCAUCGUUGCAGGAAGUACUACAGAAGAGUACAAAACUCGCUCCAACGCCAAAAUAUAACAGACAAAAUUGUCGAGUUCAUUUUUCUGGAUGACCCACCACCUUGUGUGGUGGAAAAUGUGGGUUGUUGUAGUAUUUUUCGACCCCCCCCGCCCCUUCGCGUGAACGUGUGCGCCUUACGUUUCACUCUGUGGCCACCUGACGGCUUUUCUGUUGUACGUUUACUGUUUUUUGUUGUUGUUUUCUACUGUUUUUCGGAUUAAAUGUGAUUAAGUAGUGAACUGUGGACAUGUCUUCGUGUUCAAUAUGAUUAGGUGACAGGUCUCUCCUCUUCUCAUCCACCGGUGUCUAAAUGGCAUCAGGGGAGAUCCUACGCUGCUCUCAGCUUCACUCGCAUGAGAACGUUAGGACAAGGUUUAAUCGCCAGAUAUUGUUUAUAUUCCAUCAGUGUUGUACACGUGUCAAUAAAAUAAUUGUUCACUGAGAAAACUUUAUAUCUCCCUAUUUAAAAUUGGACUCCCCCAAGAAUGCAAGACGUGGUACCAAUAUAUGUCUAGUGCUUUAUACAUAAGUACUAUACUUAAUUAUACUAAACACUUUGUACAUAAAUCAUUUAUUAUUGUUAUUUUAUUGGACCAGUUAACAACAGAAAAGAAUAGAAAUUAUUUAUCCCAUAUUUGGGAGACUGCCCUCCUUGGCAGUCACGGCUGAAAUGUGAAUGUUUCUGAAGAAAAAUCUGUCCCUCAUGUUGCAAGACAAGCCAGCUUAAGUAUUUUCAGUUUUAUUGUUUUCAGUGAACAUAAUAUGAGUAUUGGAAUAGUGUUCAUUCUAAUAUUUAGUUUCAUGAGUGUUUUACAUUCAGUACAACAUCAGCGGCUGCAUGCAAAAGAAGAAAGGCAAUAGAUUGCACCAUCACUGUUCACCCUUGUUUUUCUGUUUUUGUUUUGGUGCAGCAAAUCAGGAGUACAGCCUAGAUUUUUAUUGUUUUGAUUGUGUGUCUUGAGAAGCCAUGUGUAACUUACUGAGUACUACCUACAUUGUUCUAGUGGAGAUGCUAUUAUUUUAUGUGAAUUCAUAAAACUAUUUAUUGCAGCCUUGCAAUGCCAUUGAGGUAUAAUGUGACUUUUCUGUUUAUACACUGGGAUUAUUUGGUUUAAUUUAAAUAUGUGCACCAAGUUGCAGUUUUAUUUCAAACAUUUGAAUGGUGCAGCUGGCUCUGUUGUGUUUACAAACGCUGUUAAAAGUGAUGUGAGCUUUAAGUUUUAAUAAAGCCACAGCAGUUACACAUAA